AGAGAGGGACAAAUCGGGAAGGAUAGAUGGACAAUACCACUAAACUUUCCCCCAUCUAAAGUUUACUUUUAGGUGGUCUGGCUUGCAAGCCCUGGAUCCUGCUCCUUGCUCUGGGCUUUUGGAACUGCCCUCCCUCCAGCUUGAGGUUUGCCACUCACGAUCCUAGCUGUGACCGACUCAGUGUUUGGCCUCCAGAGAAGAUGCCGUCUCUCCUGAAGCUCACCUGGAUCACUGUUCUCCCUGUCUUCCUCUCUUACCUCCUCGGGGGCCUCCUGAAAAUUGCUUUUUCCCUCCCUGAGGACAUCUACUCUGGGCUCUCCCUGGGGAGCCUCCGAUAUCCCCCAGUACUUCCCCUUCCCACAAUAUAAUGAGAAAUGGCAACUGUCAUCUCCUCACAACACAUGUGCAAUGUCAUAUGAAAAUAAAAACACUCUGCGUAUAUGUAUAGAUAGUAGUAAUAGAGAAUUGUCGGAGGAAAAAUCCCGUUCAAGUAGUCCCU
rnacentral:lncRNA from 1 species